UACGUAGGUGGCAAGCGUUGUCCGGAUUUACUGGGCGUAAAGAGCGCGCAGGCGGUCGUUCAAGUCGCGUGUGAAAGCCCCCGGCUCAACUGGGGAGGGUCACGCGAUACUGAUCGACUCGAAGGCAGGAGAGGGUAGUGGAAUUCCCGGUGUAGCGGUGAAAUGCGUAGAGAUCGGGAGGAACACCAGAGGCGAAGGCGGCGACCUGGACAAGUACUGACACUCAACUGCGAAAGCGUGGGGAGCAAACAGG
rnacentral:rRNA from 1 species